CUACGGGGUGCAGCAGUGAGGAAUAUUGCGCAAUGGGGGAAACCCUGACGCAGCGACGCCGCGUGGAUGAUGAAGGCCUUAGGGUCGUAAAAUCCUGUCAGGUGGGAAGAAGUGGAUAUAGAUUAAUACUCUAUUUCUUUGACGGUACCACCAAAGGAAGCACCGGCUAACUCCGUGCCAGCAGCCGCGGUAAUACGGAGGGUGCAAACGUUGUUCGGAAUUACUGGGCGUAAAGCGCGCGUAGGCGGUUUGUUAAGUCAGAUGUGAAAGUCCAUGGCUCAACUAUGGAGGUGCAUUUGAAACUGGCAGACUUGAGUACUGGAGGGGGUGAUGGAAUUCCCGGUGUAGAGGUGAAAUUCGUAGAUAUCGGGAGGAAUACCGGUGGCGAAGGCGAACACCUGGCCAGAUACUGACGCUGAGGUGCGAAAGCGUGGGGAGCAAACAGGAUUAGAUACCCUUGUAGUC
rnacentral:rRNA from 1 species